AACGAACGCUGGCGGCAUGCCUAACACAUGCAAGUCGAACGAUUGCCUUCGGGUGAUAGUGGCGCACGGGUGCGUAACGCGUGGGAAUCUGCCCUUAGGUUCGGAAUAACAGCUGGAAACGGCUGCUAAUACCGGAUGAUAUCGCGAGAUCAAAGAUUUAUCGCCUGAGGAUGAGCCCGCGUUGGAUUAGGUAGUUGGUGGGGCAAAGGCCUGCCAAGCCGACGAUCCAUAGCUGGUCUGAGAGGAUGAUCAGCCACACUGGGACUGAGACACGGCCCAGACUCCUACGGGAGGCAGCAGUGGGGAAUAUUGGACAAUGGGCGCAAGCCUGAUCCAGCAAUGCCGCGUGAGUGAUGAAGGCCCUAGGGUUGUAAAGCUCUUUUACCCGGGAAGAUAAUGACUGUACCGGGAGAAUAAGCCCCGGCUAACUCCGUG
rnacentral:rRNA from 1 species